GCCCUGUGGUUGCUGGGGGCUGUUGUUCAAGUACAGCUUUCCAGUUGAUGGCAAUGGGCCAGAGCAAUGCUGUGAUGUGUGCAUGGGGGCUGUUCCUUUUCAGCAGCCUCCAUAGCCCGGUCACUGGUACAUGG
ensembl:snoRNA